AACCCCGCUCGGUACGAGAAGAUCCGCAGGUUCAGAAAUUCGCUGCCUGCUCUUGGCUGAGGAGCCAAAGGUGCGAAGCUGCCACCUGAGGGAUUGUGAUCGCAUGGCUCCAAAUCAGACUCCCC
rnacentral:ncRNA from 1 species